CAGAGGAGCCCGGCGGGCUACAACCUCGGGGUCGCAAGAGUAGGACACGACUCAGCGAGUAAACCACCACCACAGGAAGGACUGCAAGCGGGAAUGGGGAGGAAGGUUGAGGGGACAGAAGGAUUUGGAGGAGAAAAGAGACGCUGAGGGGCAGGAAGAGACAGGAGUCAGGAGGGGGCAGCAACUGGUGGCGUCAGUGACGCGGGAAGGAGGGCGGGGAGGAGAGUGGACUGGAGUACGCAGCGAGCCCUCCUAUAAAGAGCUUCUUCUAUAAAUAGUCGAAUCCAACCAGUUUCCAGGUGGGGAUGGACUGGACGGCUGGACCCGGAGCGCCUCUUGGUUUUCUGGCUCAGGUUCUGCUCCUGCCUCUCAGGUUCUGCACGGCGCGAGGAGGGUCGCCCUGUGCUAUGAGCCAGCAUCGCACUCUCUGCAGUCAGGCCCGGCUACACUGGGACUCUCUAGUCACUCUGACCACUGCAUCUGCUUUGUGUCUGAAAUAGAGCACUCCCCCUGGCAUCAGCUCUUUCCACCUUCUCCAUCCUUACUCCUGCUGGAAGCCCACAGGAACACCAUCUGCUACCACCAUCAGUGACCUUCAGCAAGAGUCAUCCUGGAGCUGUUGGAGAUACUUCUCAUCCAUUCUUUCCUCUCGGGCUCCAGAGAACCAGAUCCUCACUCUCUUUGCUACAACUUCACCAUCGAUCCUCAGCCUAGUCCUGGAGAGCCGUGGUGUGUGGUUCAAGGCCAGGUAGAUGGGAAUGUUUUUCUCUCCUAUGACUGUGGUGGCGCCAAG